rnacentral:rRNA from 1 species
ACCGGCAGCUCUAGUGGUAACAAUUUUACUGGGCCUAAAGCGUCCGUAGCCGGUUAAUAAGUCUCUGGUGAAAUCCUGUAGCUUAACUGUGGGAAGUUGCUGGAGAUACUAUUAGACUGAGACCGGGAGAGGUUAGAGGUACUCCCAGGGUAGAGGUGAAAUUCUGGUAAUCCUGGGAGGACCGCCUGUUGCGAAGGCGUCUAACUGGAACGGUUCUGACGGUGAGGGACGAAAGUUAGGGGCGCGAACCGGAUUAGAUACCCGGGUAGUCCUAACUGUAAACGAUGCGGACUUGGUGUUGGGGUGGCUUUGAGCUGCUCCAGUGCCGAAGGGAAGCUGUUAAGUCCGCCGCCUGGGAAGUACGGUCGCAAGACUGAAACUUAAGGAAUUGGCGGGGGAGCACCACAACGCGUGGAGCCUGCCGGUUUAAUUGGAUUCAACGCCGGACAUCUCACCAGAGGCGACAGCUGUAUGAUAGCCAGGUUGAUGACUUUGCUUGACUAGCUGAGAGGUGGUGCAUGG